AGGAUUCCCCUAGUAACUGCGAGUGAAGCGGGAAAAGCUCAAAUUUAAAAUCUGGCGGUCUCUGGCCGUCCGAGUUGUAAUCUAGAGAAGUGUUACCCGCGCUGGACCGUGUACAAGUCCCCUGGAAUGGGGCGUCAUAGAGGGUGAGAAUCCCGUCUCUGACACGGACUACCAGGGCUUUGUGGUAUGCUCUCAAAGAGUCGAGUUGUUUGGGAAUGCAGCUCAAAAUGGGUGGUAAAUUCCAUCUAAAGCUAAAUAUUGGCGAGAGACCGAUAGCGAACAAGUACCGUGAGGGAAAGAUGAAAAGAACUUUGGAAAGAGAGUUAAACAGUACGUGAAAUUGCUGAAAGGGAAACGCUUGAAGUCAGUCGCGUUGGCCGGGAAUCAGCCUCGCUUUUGUGUGGUGUACUUUCUGGUUGACGGGUCAGCAUCAAUUUUGACUGCUGGAAAAAGGCUUGGGGAAUGUGGCAGCUCCGGCUGUGUUAUAGCCCCUUGUCACAUACAGCGGUUGGGAUUGAGGAACUCAGCACGCCGCAAGGCCGGGUUUCGACCACGUUCGUGCUUAGGAUGCUGGCAUAAUGGCUUUAAGCGACCCGUCUUGAAACACGGACCAAGGAGUCUAACAUGCCUGCGAGUGUUUGGGUGGAAAACCCGAGCGCGUAAUGAAAGUGAAAGUUGAGAUCCCUGUCGUGGGGAGCAUCGACGCCCGGACCAGAACUUUUGGGACGGAUCCGCGGUAGAGCAUGUAUGUUGGGACCCGAAAGAUGGUGAACUAUGCCUGAAUAGGGUGAAGCCAGAGGAAACUCUGGUGGAGGCUCGUAGCGAUUCUGACGUGCAAAUCGAUCGUCAAAUUUGGGUAUAGGGGCGAAAGACUA
rnacentral:rRNA from 1 species